rfam:Triticum aestivum genome assembly, contig: Triticum_aestivum_CS42_TGACv1_scaffold_105984_2AL
AUUGUACUCCCUCCGUCCCAAAAUUCUUGUUUUAGAUUUGUCCAAAUACGGAUGCAUCAAGUCACAUUUUAGUAUUAGAUACAUCCGUAUCUAGAGGAAUCUAAGACAAGAAUUUUGGGACGGAGGGAGUAUAUC